ensembl:lncRNA
AAGUAGGGCAUUGACUCUCACAGACUGACCCAUGUGUGGGGCUCUGACCCAUAAGUGGGGCUCUGACCCAUAAGUGGGGCAUUCACCCACAGGGACUGACCCACACGUGGGGCUCUGCCCCAUAAGUGGGGCUGUGACCCACAAGUGGGGCUGUGACCCAUAAGUGGGGCUCUGAGCCACAGCGCUGCCCACCAUGGACCAACCCACGCAUGGGGCUGUGACCCAUAAGUGGGCCUGUGACCCACGUGUGGGGCUGUGACCCAUAAGUGGGGCUGUGACCCAUAAGUAGGGCAUUCACCCACUGAGACUGAUCCACGUGUGGGGUUCUGCCCCAUAAGUGGGGCUGUGACCCACAAGUGGAGCUGUGACCCACACAUGGGGCUGUGACCCAUAAGUGGGCCUGUGACCCACAAGUGGGGCUCUGACCCAUAAGUGGGGCUCUGACCCAUAAGUAGGGCAUUCACCCACAGAGACUGACCCAGGUGUGGGGCUCUGACCCACAAGUGCGGCUGUGACCCACAGCACUACCCCCCCCCUUCCAUGGGCUGACCCACAAGUGGGGCUCUGACCCAUAAGUGAGGCAUUUUCCCAUAAGUACGUGAAGCUCUGACCCAUAAGUGGGGCUCUGCCCCAUAAGUGGGGCAUUGACCCACACAGACUGACCCAGGUGUGGGGCUCUGCCCCAUAAGUAAGGCAUUGACCCACACAGACUGACCCACAAGUGGGGCUCUGACCCAUAAGUGGGGCAUUGACCCACACAGACUGACCCACGCGUGGGGCUCUGACCCACAAGUGAGGCGAUGCCCCAUAAGUACGUGAAGCUCUGACCCAUAAGUGGGUUCUGACCCACAAGUGAAGCACCUGUAAGUGGGGCUGAGACCCAUAAGUGGGGCUGUGACUCAAGUACUUGAAGCUCUGCCCCAUAAGUGGAGCUCUGCCCCAUAAGUGGGGCUCUGCCCCAUAAGUACAUGAAUCUCUGCCCCAUAAGUUGGGCUCUGCCCCAUAAGUACAUGAAUCUCUGCCCCACAAGUUGGGCUCUGCCCCUUAAGUACAUGAAUCUCUGCCCCAUAAGUGGUGCAUUGCCCCAUAAGUAUGUGAAGCUGUGACCUACAAGUGGGCCUGUGACCCACAAGUGGGGCUCUGCCCCAUAAGUGGAGCACUGACCCACAGUGCUGCCCCAUAGCAACACUCCAC